AGCCUAAACCCGUCAAGAUUUGCUUGCCGGGCAUGGUGAAAGUCAACCGCUACAGUGCAAAAAACUCCUCGUCCGGAGUCACUGUAGCGGUCGUAUCCCGAAAGGGGUAUGGGCUUGGCCGAAAGGCUAGGUC
rnacentral:sRNA from 1 species